CCCUCCCAGACGAGAGGAGUAGCGCUAUUCGAUAGCGAUAACGUCGGAUUAGGGUAUCGUGUGGACGGCAAUCGACGUUAUUGGCCUCGGGCGGCAUCCCAGGUGCAGCACUGACUCG